ensembl:lncRNA
UUCUGCUGCUUCUACUGAUGAUUCAAGUUACACUUAGUGUUGUGAAUAGAAAUGCAGUGCCAUUAACACCCCAUAGUGCUAACCUUUAUUUUAAUGAAAUAUUAAUUCCUACAGAAAUAGGCAGCAAUCUGUUGAAGAGUUGUGUAUGUGAGACUGUAAGUUAAAAGGACAAGAAAAGUGUGCAGAAUGUGGAAGCCUUCAACUGUUCCUUCUAUUCUGGGUAUUUAAGUGGAUUUAAACAUGAACUGAAUCUAAUGGGAUCUUUUGGCAGACAAUUUAAUCAUUUUCUCCCACAGUAAUUGUGUUUAAAUAUUAAGUUUUCUUUGAGAUUAGGCUAUGCAGUACAAAGGCCAAGACUCCCUGUUAUUCCCUUAUGGAGACCAGCAGAAUCCCGAGUAUUUUUCAGUCUGAACAUUUUCGUACACAACCAUAAAGAACAAACUCAAACAAAGGACUGAUGGUGAAGAACUGUGCAGCUGUAACCUGGGUGAACACGUCUGCAAAAUGGAGGCAGGGAAAAAAAAAAAAAAAGAGAGAGAGAGAGAGAGAGAGAGUCUAUGGAGUAAACUGUGCUAGAAGGUUGGAAGAAACAAAAGCUGCCUUGCCAUGAGAUUCACAGAUUCUUCUGUCUUGCAUGUAAUGGAGAACAGAAAUGUGGACAAACUGGAACAUUUUCUUACAGAUGACCAUGCAUGUUGUCAUGCUCGGUUUUUUGCCAAACAUGACUGGCAUAGCAAUAGUCAGCAGGCAAAGUUAAGCUGGAAAUAGAAAAAGGACAGAUAAAAUGCAUGACAUAUAUUCAGAUUUUACCUUUACUAUCUAAAAGAAUUGUUGUCUUGUAUAUCACCAUCCUUGUUCACUCAGAAUUUUAAAAAACAUAUUCUAUGUCUUCUGAAUGUAUCUUCAGAAUGUAUAGUUAUUUGUGGCUAUUGAAAACUUUUAUUUUUGUACAGUUCAUAUUUUUUUACAUAUUUCAUAGGUCUUCUGCAGUAAUUUCUAAAACAGCUCUGUCAUUAUAGGUCCUAACUUUUUGAAGUCCAUUGACUGCAGCAUGAAAUUCAAUUUGGACUGCUAGACUUGAGGCAAGGCUAGACUUUGAGCCAAUUUAAAAGAAUUUAAUUUUAGAUCAAAACAAAUUAGAUACAUCAGGAUUAGAUGCCCUUAAGCUAAUUUAAGAACAUCUCCACCAGCGUUUUCACUAGUUCAAAUCAGUUUAGGAAUUGAUUUAGCUAAAUUGUUAUAUUUUCUUUCUGAGAGAGGAGGACAAGUUAUAUGAGUUUUGCAUGGGGAAGCUCUAAGCUCCCACCUAAAAUAUAUGGGAUUUCAAAUGUUAUUGGCCUAAGCAGGUGCCCUCUAAGAAUUACUAUCAGACUAUACUAUCAGGGCUAUUGGGAUGAAGUCUGGAGGAUGGGCACAAAUGAUGGAUGCAUGAGAAACUGAAAGAUAUUUGAGUUUCAGUUUAACCUCUGCUUCUAAAUUGAACCCCUGUGCCCAGCAGGGCCAGCCAUGAGAAGCUGUAACGUACAUAAGUGUCUCAGCAUGUCUGCACACUUUGUAAUGCAUGCCAGUACUUUGUUUCCCUCUAAAAACCUGUUGCAAAGUUGUCACCCUAAUAAGUAAUUUUUCAUCAACAACCUUCUAUUUUCAGUCAUUUUCAGUAUUGAACUGCAUCUAAGGAAGCAUUAAAAAUUAGGACCUGAAUAUCUCAACAGCUGCCAUUAAAAGGAAGAUGGAUGCUUAAAAUAUAAAGAUUUGUCACAAAGCACUAAUGAACUCCCUAGAUAUCUUUAAGUCAUUAACUAGAAUCCACAGAUUAUAGAAAAGAACUGAAAUGUAAUCUAUUCCUAUUAAGGUUAAGGAAGACAUAGCUUCCUUAAUAAUCUAAACCAAAUCCACUGUAUUAUCAAGUGAAAUUUCACUUUAAAAAAUGCCAUUUCAAGUGCAUGGGGUGCAGGUGCCCAGGUGGUGGCAGGGGGACAGCAGGGCCCCUGUGUGAGGCAAAGCUGAGUCUGCCCAGUGCUGGACACAGCCAUUUACAACUGGAUCCAGCGACCCCAUGGCAUGUCACAGCUGGACUCCAAAAAUGCAUAUAUAUGAUUGUAUUCUUUGUUGACAAUAAAUCUAACUCAAUUUGUGUAUUUAAUUCAUUUGGUUAAUUACUUUUACAUUGAUUUGUUUUACAUUAUCAUUAGAUAUAAAUAUAUCUGAUACCUUAUUCAGCAUAAUCACACUCAACUGACAAAGAAAAAAAAAGAACAAAAAUUAUUUCUCAUAUUUUCUUUUUACUCAGCUAAAUCUUGUCAAAACACAGCAACUCUAUCUAAUAAAAAAGUUUUAUAUUAUCUGUUUUCUUUCUUUGCAGACGUGUAAUAGACUUUCCAUCAAGUAGAGAAAUAAAAGUUUGGCAGAGCAACAUGGAAGUGAAUGUAAACAGGAGCUAAUGAAAUGUGAUUUAGAUUUUAUCAUCUGAUAGUAAUAUCAAGGUUGAAAGAUAACCCAAGUAUUGUGGAACUAGAAAAGAUGAUGAAAAUGGAAAAGCUGAAAAAGCUUUAAUAUAAAAAGAUAAUGCUAGUUUGCUUUAGAGAUCGUAUAAGCAAGAAAAGAAAUCGAAAAAUGGGAAGUAAUGAAUGGACAGGAAAAGUAUAUUGGAAUCUCCUGUUGUGUGUGAUUAAUCAGAAUCAGGGCUACAUUUUGUUUAAUUAAAACAAUUGGGUAACAUAAACCCAGUGAAGGGAUUCUUUGUCAUCAAACCAUGGUAUUUAUUUGAAAUGAAAAAUUAUUGAGUUCAAGAGCUUGACAAAGCAAUAUACUCAUCUACUGAAUCACACAGCUCAUUUCUAUACAGCUGUAGACAAAGCCUAGAAAUAGAGCUCGCUUCUCUUCAGAACCCGUGCUGGUCUUUGGCUCAUGACAAUUUGUGAUUGGCUCAUGACGAUUUGUGUUGAGUCCCACUGCUCUCCAACUUCCACAUGUACUGACAAAUUUUACUUUCUGUUAUUCUGUCUUCAAGGUUAUCCAAAUGUUAUGGUGUUAAAUAAAGCUUCUUGUCUGCAUUGAUUGCAUCUUAUAAUUUUUUCUCCUCAUCUGAUUUUACAAGCAUUUUCCUACUUGUACCAAGUUCAUUAAGGAAAUGCUAAAUGCAAUCAGUCCCAAGAUGUUCCUUGGGACUUUACAAUUAUUUUGUACAAUGCUAAGUAUUUUUUUCAUUCUAUAUGGCUCUUGACUUCUCAUCUUAAACCAUUUUCUUUCUUUUAAGUUUAUAAUACUUAUGUCGAUUCCCUUUUUUUUUUUUUUUGGUCAAAUACAUUUUUUCCAUCUGGCACCAUAAUUUCCAAUGCAUUAAAGCUGACAUUCAGCUUUGUAUACAGUUUCCUGGUUGUAAUCCCUGAUUUGUGUGGAUGAACUGAUCAAGAUAUUCUUCACUGCAUGGUAUGACAGCUGUACAUGGCCAUCUAUAAUGUGUCUCUCUUUCACGUCACCAUGGCCACUGCUGAAAUACACCAUCCACUGCCUCGCUGUGCUCACACCCAUUGUUUGGUCUCCAUAAACAUUCAGCAAAUGUUGAUGAAUGUCAAUGAAUGCAAAUUUUUCCACGUGGAAGGAUUCAAAUUUCAACCCUUUGCUUCAUACUCACUUUCACAUCAGACAUCAUUUUGUCAGAAUGCCCCUCUGCUGCCAUCUGUCACACAGCAACAAAAGGUAAUGAAAUAUUGGUGAGAAUGUUCAGCCUCUACUGCCAUACCACCAACACCUGCCUCUGAUGUUGUGGGCCAGCAUAAUAGAAUUGGAGACAUUAUUUUUGGAGCACACCUCAUAUUUUUUGAGAUAAUUAUUUACCAUUCAGGUCUGAAAUCUUUUAUUCCAAGAUAUACAUGCUCCAGAUGACACUUACACUUUUUAUUAAAAAGUAAAAAUUCCAAUCCCAAUGUUCUAGUCCAUUGUGCAUUUUCUCUGAUAUAUGAGAAUUCAGUAUUUUGAAAUUAUAUUGUAACUUCUGUCUGUCUCACAUUACUUCCUUUUUGUUCAAAUAGAUUGUUUCCCUAGUAACAAAUUUUUGUGGCAUUGAUGGUACUAUGCCAAACCAAAUAAAAAUAGUGCCCACUCUUAUUAAUUCAUUGAUAUUUUAUAAAGAAACGAUGUUAUCUAAGUUAUCUAAGACUUAGCAUAAUUAGAUUAGCAUGAUAAUAAUAGUAGUAAUAAUAGUAAUAAAGCUUUAGAAAACUACUUAUCUACUUAUCUCUCAAGAGUACAGAAAUUACCUGAAUUAAAGUGAGCAAUUCUGAAAGGGAUCUGAAAACUGCUUGCUUCAGAUUUCAGUAGACUUUUGUUAUGAUACCUACACAAAAUCUAUUAUAUGUUACUAAUGCUAUUGGGCUUGGAAUGAGCACCACCUUGGUGUAACUGUGGUUCUUGAACUGUCCAUUUGGUGCUCCCUUGGACUGAGAAAGCUCCCACCCUUAUUCCACCCCAGAACUCCUGACAAUACAAACACAAUAAAUUUUAUUGUAAAGCCAGAACAACAAUUUUGAUUUAUUCCCCCACUGGUGCACUAGUGAGAAAUUUCAGGGCUGCCUGAUGGGAACCUAUGUGAUGACUGACUCAUAGGAUUUACCAUAUUUAUUACCCCUUGUCUUGUCAUUUGACCCUCCUUUUCACCACCAUUGCUUCUCCUCUUAGAAUGUUUUUAUCUGUUUCCUUCCUUCCUCCCUUCCUCCCUUCCUCCCUUCCUCCCUUCCUCUACAUGAAAAACUAUUGCUGGCUGCUCUUAGUUGGAUAUGAGAUCCAGAUUAAUUGCAUGUUACCUAAGAAUGAAUGAAGCAUGAUUAGAUAGCAUAUAAGAUAAAUCAGUGUUUCUUCUAUUUUUCUAUGAAUGGAUUCCUCCUCCUGAAUGUCACAGUAUGCUUUUAUCAGUAAUACUGCAUUUUUACUACUUCAUCUUACAGACUGUAGUUAUCUACCUUUUUACAUUCAUGAACUUGAGUGCUAGAAUAUUCAUAUGUAGUGUUGAUAACAGUGCCUGUGACUUAAAAAAUACAGUUUUCAAAACAUAUCAGCAUUUGGGAAAGUCAGUGUAGUGUUCUGAGACUUUUGAUAAGUCUCAAUUUCUAUUUGAAACAGCAUUUGAAACUGUAAACAUCAUUCAGGAAAAAAAUUUUUUGGUAUGCCUUCGUACAAUUUAGUGCACUCUGUAUUACAUGACUGUAUUUUAUUUAGUGUCCUUUUAUCCAAAAGAUGUUGUAGUGUUAGAUCGUCAAGGAAAUAAAUGAAUACAUGAAAUUCUGUUUGUUAUUUUAUAUUUUUAAUCAUGGU